CCAAUAGCGUAUAUUAAAGUUGUUGCAGUUAAAAAGCUCGUAGUUGAAUUUCGGGGUUAGUAGGUUGGUCAUGCCUCUGGUAUGUACUGGUCUCACUGAUUCCUCCUUCCUGAUGAACCUUAAUGCCAUUAAUUUGGUGUUUUGGGGAAUUGUGACUGUUACUUUGAAAAACUUAGAGUGUUUAAAGCAGGCUAACGAUUGAAUACAUUAGCAUGGAAUAAUGAAAUAGGACGGUCGAUCCUAUUUUGUUGGUUUCUAGGAUUGACGUAAUGAUUAAUAGGGAUAGUUGGGGGCAUUAGUAUUCAAUUGUCAGAGGUGAAAUUCUUGGAUUUAUUGAAGACUAACUACUGCGAAAGCAUUUGCCAAGGACGUUUUCAUUAAUCAAGAACGAAAGUUAGGGGAUCGAAGACGAUCAGAUACCGUCGUAGUCUUAACCAUAAACUAUGCCGACUAGGGAUCGGAUGAUGUUAAUUUUUUAAUGACUCAUUCGGCGCCUUACG
rnacentral:rRNA from 1 species